AUCACAGGAAAAAAUGACCUUUACAUAAUCACCUGCCAUUUGAAGAUUGCUUUUCCCCCUGCUCAUCUGGUUGCUUUGAUCAAGGUGUCGAGUCUGGAUUAUGAUGGAGCUCGUGUUCCCACCUGGUAAUCUGCAUGAAACAUGUCCAGACAUAUCCACAUAAGGGCUUUCCAUGUGAACCACGCGAAGACUAGAGGCUUUAAACUGAUGAAUGACGUCAAUUUCUCGCAAAAUCAUACCUGACACUUCAAAUUAUAAAUAUUUUUUAUAAGCUUACCAUUGCUAAUCAAUGUAAGGAAAGGAGACAGUUUUGAACACUGUUGUCUCAUGUAUUUGAUCAAAAAACUUUUUUGUUAAUUUUAACCAAAACAAAAUUACAUGUGUAGUAUAGUACAUAUUUAACUUUAAAACAGUGAGUCAAGUUAGUGAUGCAAAUGUUUGUCAAAACCUAUAUGAUUCCCCCACAGGACAAAAAAGGUGAAUUACUGGCCAUUAUUUUCACUAUAAUAAAAGUCAAUAAGGACUGGGACUGUCAUAUAUAUAUAUAUUCUGAUGCCAUGUGAUGGCACACUUUGUGUGAUGUCCAGACCAAAAUCUAGGACACUCUUUGAGUCAAAUCUUUUUAACAGUUGAAUCCGUUUAUCCAGUUCCCAAACCUGGCCAUAAAGGGUUCACCCUAAAAUGUUGGUGCAGAGACUGACGCAAAGAGAAGAAAUUGUUGAAUAAAAUCAUUAUUUAUUUUUUCUUUGCACACAAAAAUUAUUCUCGUAGCUUUAUAACAUUAUGGUUGAACCAAUGAUGUCACAUGGACUAUUUUAACAACGUUCUGGGCCGUAUGAAUGUUUCAGUUGCUUUGAGAUCUAUGCAGGGUCAGAAAGCUCUCAGAUUUCAUUAAAAAUAUCUUAAUUUGUGUUCCAAAGAUGAACGAAGGUCUUACAGGUUUGAAACAACAUGAGGGUGAGUAAUUAAUGACAGACUUUUCAUCUGGGUGAACUAACCCUUUAAUGAUUCAUUCAUGAUUCAGACUCAUUCAAACUAAAUAACAAAGUUCCAGUCACAAAACUGCUAUCACUUGACUUCAAGAAACAAACAAACAAAAACAAAAAACACUGCAUGUGUUGUAGGGUAGAAUGGGGUAAAAUGCCCCCCUACUGUUUUUCCCAAAAUAACCACAAGAUCAAAUCAAGAUACAUUUUUUAUUGUAACUAUGGACUGUGUUGACAAGAGUGAUAUAGAGGUGUUCACCAUGAAGCUUACACUGGUGAUGUACCGGAGAGAAAACGGAUUUCACAGUAAAAGAUCUAAUUUUCAGCAGUAAGAAAAAAAGUGUUUUAAAGCUUGUUGUUUUGUAGAACAUCACAGUUAUAUAUGAUACGAAAACAGUAGGGCCUGCAGAUAGGGCGUAUGCGUUAUUUAAAAAUAUAUAUAAUUACGUUUCCAGAAUGACAUAAUUUUUUUCUCAAACAUAGUCAGUGGGGUAAAACGCCCCUAGGAGGCAAUGGGCAAUUACUGUAGUUACUCUGUUUUGAACAUUAAAUCCUUUGUUUUUCCAUUAAAUGUAUGUUAACUAGUUGGUUGAAUAAAAAAAUUUGGAUUUUAUAUUUAAAAAUUACCUCAAGUUAGCAUAAGGUAGCUGGUUAGCUAGCCAGUUAGCAUCAGCUAACAAAAUGUUUCACAUAGGCUAUUAUAAUUUUGUAACUCGUAAUAAUUGAUUAUAUUAUUUUUAAUUUUAAGCUAAAACUGCCUGUACUCUGA